CUAAUACAUGCAAGUCGAGCGCACCUUCGGGUGAGCGGCGGACGGGUGAGUAACGCGUGGGAACGUGCCCUUUGGUUCGGAACAACACAGGGAAACUUGUGCUAAUACCGAAUGUGCCCUUCGGGGGAAAGAUUUAUCGCCAUUGGAGCGGCCCGCGUUGGAUUAGGUAGUUGGUGGGGUAAAGGCCCACCAAGCCGACGAUCCAUAGCUGGUCUGAGAGGAUGAUCAGCCACACUGGGACUGAGACACGGCCCAGACUCCUACAGGAGGCAGCAGUAGGGAAUCUUGCGCAAUGGGCGAAAGCCUGACGCAGCCAUGCCGCGUGAAUGAUGAAGGUCUUAGGAUUGUAAAAUUCUUUCACCGGGGAAGAUAAUGACGGUACCCGGAGAAGAAGCCCCGGCUAACUUCGUGCCAGCAGCCGCGGUAAUACGAAGGGGGCUAGCGUUGCUCGGAAUUACUGGGCGUAAAGGGCGCGUAGGCGGAUAGUUUAGUCAGAGGUGAAAGCCCAGGGCUCAACCUUGGAACUGCCUUUGAUACUGGCUAUCUUGAGUUCGGGAGAGGUGAGUGGAAUGCCGAGUGUAGAGGUGAAAUUCGUAGAUAUUCGGCGGAACACCAGUGGCGAAGGCGACUCACUGGCCCGAUACUGACGCUGAGGCGCGAAAGCGUGGGGAGCAAACAGG
rnacentral:rRNA from 1 species